ACGGGAGGCAGCAGUGGGGAAUAUUGCACAAUGGGGGAAACCCUGAUGCAGCGACGCCGCGUGAAGGAUGAAGUAUUUCGGUAUGUAAACUUCUAUCAGCAAGGAAGAAAAAAUGACGGUACUUGACUAAGAAGCCCCGGCUAAAUACGUGCCAGCAGCCGCGGUAAUACGUAUGGGGCAAGCGUUAUCCGGAUUUACUGGGUGUAAAGGGAGCGUAGACGGCAAGGCAAGUCAGAAGUGAAAGCCUGGGGCUCAACCCCGGAACUGCUUUUGAAACUGUCUAGCUAGAGUGCAGGAGAGGUAAGUGGAAUUCCUAGUGUAGCGGUGAAAUGCGUAGAUAUUAGGAGGAACACCAGUGGCGAAGGCGGCUUACUGGACUGUAACUGACGUUGAGGCUCGAAAGCGUGGGGAGCAAACAGGAUUAGAUACCCUGGUA
rnacentral:rRNA from 2 species